rnacentral:rRNA from 1 species
AGAGUUUGAUCCUGGCUCAGAACGAACGCUGGCGGCAGGCCUAACACAUGCAAGUCGAAGGAGAAGUUUCUUUUCGGAGAGAUGGACACUGGCGCACGGGUGAGUAACGCGUGGGAAUCUACCCCGGGGUGGGGGACAACCGCUGGAAACGGCGGCUAAUACCGCAUACGCCUUGAGAGGGAAAGCUUUAGCGCCCUGGGAUGAGCCCGCGUUAGAUUAGGUAGUUGGUGGGGUAAUGGCCUACCAAGCCUUCGAUCUAUAGCUGGUCUGAGAGGAUGAUCAGCCACACUGGGACUGAGACACGGCCCAGACUCCUACGGGAGGCAGCAGUGGGGAAUAUUGGACAAUGGGGGCAACCCUGAUCCAGCCAUGCCGCGUGCGUGAAGAAGGCCUUAGGGUUGUAAAGCGCUUUCACUGGUGAAGAUGAUGACGGUAGCCAGAGAAGAAGCCCCGGCUAACUCCGUGCCAGCAGCCGCGGUAAUACGGAGGGGGCAAGCGUUGUUCGGAAUUACUGGGCGUAAAGGGCGCGUAGGCGGAAUAUCAAGUUAGGGGUGAAAGGCCUGGGCUCAACCUACGGAACGGCCUCUAAAACUGAUA